rnacentral:rRNA from 1 species
AACGAACGCUGGCGGCAGGCUUAACACAUGCAAGUCGAACGAUGAAACCUAGCUUGCUAGGUCGAUUAGUGGCGAACGGGUGAGUAACACGUGACUAACCUGCCCCUUUCUCUGGGAUAACGCUCCGAAAGGAGUGCUAAUACCGGAUACUCACAUCGAGGCACAUGCCUUGAUGUGGAAAGUUUUUCGGAAAGGGAUGGAGUCGCGGCCUAUCAGCUUGUUGGUGAGGUAACGGCUCACCAAGGCGACGACGGGUAGCCGGCCUGAGAGGGCGACCGGCCACACUGGGACUGAGACACGGCCCAGACUCCUACGGGGGGCAGCAGUGGGGAAUAUUGCACAAUGGGCGCAAGCCUGAUGCAGCGACGCCGCGUGAGGGAUGAAGGUCUUCGGAUUGUAAACCUCUUUCAGUAGGGACGAAGCGAAAGUGACGGUACCUAAAGAAGAAGCACCGGCUAACUACGUGCCAGCCGCCGCCGUAA